rnacentral:rRNA from 1 species
CUCAUAGCGUAUAUUAAUGUUGUUGCAGUUAAAAAGCUCGUAGUUGGAUUCCUGACCUGGGGUAGCCGGUCCGCCUUGCAAAAGGUGCGCACUGAGCGGCCUCGGUCAUCCUUGAGAAGAGCGGUCCUGGCAUUCAGUUGUCGGGGUCGGGAUUCUCGACGUUUACUGUGAAAAAAUCAGAGUGUUCAACGCAGGCUUACGCCUUGAAUACAUUAGCAUGGAAUAAUGAGAUAGGACCUUGGCGGUCUAUUUUGUUGGUUUGCACGCCGAGGUAAUGAUUAAAAGGGACGGUUGGGGUUCUUCGUAUUCAAUUGUCAGAGGUGAAAUUCUUGGAUUUAUGGAAGACGAACUGCUGCGAAAGCGUCGAACAAGGACGUUCUCAUUAAUCAAGAACGAAAGUUAGGGGAUCGAAGAUGAUUAGAUACCAUCGUAGUCUUAACCAUAAACUAUGCCGAUUCAGGAUUGGCGGUCGUUUGUUCUCGACUCCGUCAGCACUGUAUGA